UUGUAAUAUUUAAAUAAUAUUAUUAAGAAUAAUGUGCAUUUUUUCCAUAUAAGGACAUUGUAAUCUAUUAGCAUAUCCCAAAUUUAUCAUAAAAUAUAACUUAUAGUUUAUUCCAAUUAAAUUGCUUGCAUUUUAACACAGAAUAAAUGUUAUUAAUUUGAUAAAGUGCUGAUAGAUUUAUAUUAUUACAGAGCGUUAAUUUUUCGGAAUUAUAUAAUGGCAUAAUUAUCAUUGAUUUUUGUGUUUAUUAUAUGCUCUUGUAUGAUUAACAAUGCGAAAGAUUCAGGAUACCUUCGGGACCCGUCUUGAAACACGGACCAAGGAGUCUAACAUAUGUGCAAGUUAUUGGGAUGUAAACCUAAUAGCGUAAUUAACUUGACUAAUAAUGGGAUUAGUUUUUUAGCUAUUUAUAGCUAAUUAACACAAUCCCGGGGCGUUCUAUAUAGUUAUGUAUAAUGUAUAUUUAUAUUAUUUAUGCCUCUAACUGGAACGUACCUUGAGCAUAUAUGCUGUGACCCGAAAGAUGGUGAACUAUACUUGAUCAGGUUGAAGUCAGGGGAAACCCUGAUGGAAGACCGAAACAGUUCUGACGUGCAAAUCGAUUGUCAGAAUUGAGUAUAGGGGCGAAAGACCAAUCGAACCAUCUAGUAGCUGGUUCCUUCCGAAGUUUCCCUCAGGAUAGCUGGUGCAUUUUAAUAUUAUAUAAAAUAAUCUUAUCUGGUAAAGCGAAUGAUUAGAGGGCCUUAGGGUCGAAACGAUCUUAACCUAUUCUCAAACUUUAAAUGGGGUAAGAACCUUAACUUUCUUGAUAUGAAGUUCAAGGUUAUGAUAUAAUGUGCCCAGUGGGCCACUUUUUGGGUAAGCAGAACUGGCGCUGUGGGAUGAACCAAACGUAAUGUUACGGGUGCCCAAAUUAACAACUCAUGCAGAUACCAUGAAAGGCGUUGGUUGCUUAAAACAGCAGGGACGGUGAUCAUGAAAGUCGAAACCCGUUAGGAGUGUGUAACAACUCAACCUGCCGAAGCAACUAGCCCUAAAAUGGGUGGGGCUCAAGUUGGUAUACCCAUUCCCUUACGCGGAAGGAGAUGAUCUUAUAUGACGUUGGAUAAUAAUUUUUGAACCUUUGAUGAGUAAGAAAGGAACAAUGAGAUGACGUUCGAAAGUGUUUGGGCG
rnacentral:ncRNA from 1 species